rnacentral:rRNA from 1 species
CCCUUAGAUGUUCUGGGCUGCACGCGCGCUACACUGAUGCAUCCAACAAGUUUUUUCCUUGUUCGAGAGGACUAGGUAAUCUUUUGAGAAUGCAUCGUGAUGGGGAUAGAUUAUUGCAAUUAUUAAUCUUCAACGAGGAAUUCCUAGUAAGCGCGAGUCAUCAGCUCGUGCUGAUUAUGUCCCUGCCCUUUGUACACACCGCCCGUCGCACCUACCGAUUGGAUGGUCCGGUGAAGCCUCGGGAUUGUGGUUCUUGCCGCUUUAUUGUGGCGUGACCGCGAGAACUUGUCUAAACCUUAUCAUCUAGAGGAAGGUGAAGUCGUAACA